rnacentral:rRNA from 1 species
GACGUAGGUGGCGAACGUUAUCCGGAAUUAUUGGGCGUAAAGGAUGCGUAGAUGGUAGAAUAAGUUACUAGUCGAUGUCAAACUCAAUUUGACGGAAGCUGGUAAAACUGUUCUGCUAGAGGAUAGAGGAGGUUGACGGAAUUCUGUGUGGAGCGGUGAAGUGCGUUGAUCUACAGAGGAACACCAAAAGGCGAAGGCAGUCGACUAUUCUAUUCCUGACAUUGAGGCAUGAAAGCGUGGGGAGCAAACCGG